CCUCAAAUCAGGUAGGACUACCCGCUGAACUUAAGCAUAUCAAUAAGCGGAGGAAAAGAAACUAACAAGGAUUCCCCUAGUAACUGCGAGUGAAGAGGGAAGAGCUCAAAUUUAAAAUCUGUCAGUCUUUGGCUGGCCGAGUUGUAAAUUAGAGAAGUGCCUAUCUGCGCUGGCCUGUGCAAAAGUCUCUUGGAAAAGGGCAUCAUAGAGGGUGACAAUCCCGUCUUUGGUACAGAGCUCCAGGGCUUCAUGAUGCGCUCUCGAUGAGUCGAGUUGUUUGGGAAUGCAGCUCUAAAUGGGUGGUAAAUUCCAUCUAAAGCUAAAUAUUGGCGAGAAACCGAUAGCGCACAAGUACCGUGAGGGAAAGAUGAAAAGAACUUUGAAAAGAGAGUUAAACAGUACGUGAAAUUGUUGAAAGGGAAACGCUUGAAGUCAGUCGUGUCCUUCAGAAAUCAACCUGACCUUGGUCUGGCUUACUUUCUGGUGGAUGGGUCAGCAUCAAUUUUGAUCAUUGGAUAAAGGCCUUGGGAAAGUGACAUCUCCGGAUGUGUUAUAGCCCUUGGUUCAUAUACAGUGGUUGGGAUUGAGGAACUCAGUGUGAACUUGGGGGCUUUGGCCUACACACGCACUUG
rnacentral:rRNA from 1 species